GGUCCUAUAGUGUAGCUCGGUUAUCACUUUCGGUUUUGAUGAAACAUUUUCAAACUUCCGAACAACAUCAGUUCGAAUCUGGUUAGGACCU
rnacentral:tRNA from 2 species